UACGUAGGGGGCUAGCGUUGUCCGGAAUCAUUGGGCGUAAAGAGCGUGUAGGCGGCUCGGUAAGUCCGCUGUGAAAGUCCAGGGCUCAACCCUGGAAUGCCAGUGGAAACUGUCGAGCUAGAGUCCGGAAGAGGCGAGUGGAAUUCCUGGUGUAGCGGUGAAAUGCGCAGAUAUCAGGAGGAACACCGGUGGCGAAGGCGGGACUCUGGGCCGAUACUGACGCUGAGGAGCGAAAGCGUGGGGAGCAAACAGG
rnacentral:rRNA from 1 species